AUGAAAAGGCAGAAGAAACCCUCAAUUCUAGAUGAAAUUGAAUAUGAUGAUUACCAGGAAGAUGAAUACAAUCAUCCCUCUAGACUUGGGAGUAAGCACUCAACAAAGUUGUCAACUAAUAAAAAUAAACCUCGCAAGAAAAGCCCUAGAGUUCCCACAAACCAGGAAAAAGCUCAAUAUGAGUAUUACCCUGAUAGAUCUCAUAGGAAAAGACCAAGAGAUUCCUCUAACCAAGAUGAAUCUGAAUAUGAGGGAACGCCCGGUGUUCCCUCAGAGCAGGAAGGACAGGAAGAUGAUGGUUUCCCGGACUAUGAUGGCCCCAGAGAUCUCUCAAACCCAGAUGCAUCCGAAGAUGCGGAUUACCCUGAAUCUGAAGAAUCUGCUGGCAAAGACGCAAGAAAUCUCUCUUCAGCUGAAAUACACACAGGAAAAAAGAAACGUCUCAAGAAAAGCGGUAGAGCUCCCUCAAAGCCAGACCAACCUGAAUAUGAGGAUGAUCCUGAAAGAACUCGUAGGAAAAGCCCUAGAGAUUCCUCUAACCAAGAUGAAUCAGAAUAUGAGGAUUACCUUGACUCCGAUGAAGUUGAAGAAAAACACCCAAGCGAUCCUUUCUCAAGUAAAAAGCUAAAGCGUAAAGAAAAACCUCGCAAGAAGGGUCCCGAAGGUUCCCCAUACCCAAAUGGACCUAACAAUGAGGAUAGCUCUGACCUAGGUGAAUUUGAAGAGCAAGGACCAAGACAUCCCUCCUCAAUAAAAUACCCCAAAAAUAAAAACAAACCACGUAAGGGAGCGCCCGGUGAUUCCUCAGAGCCAGAAGGACAGGAAGAUGAUAGUUUCCCUGACUCUGAUGGGCCCGGAUAUCCCUCAAACCCAGACGCACUCAAAGAUGAGGAUUACCUUGAAUCUGAAGAAUCUCCUGGGAAAGACCAAAGAGAUCCCUUUUCAACUAAAAAACGCCCAGGUAAAGAGAAACCACUCAAGAAAGGUCCCAAAGGUUACUCAGACCCAAAUAAAUUCAACAAUGAGGAUAUCUAUGACCCAGGUGCAUCUGGAGAACAAGGCCCUAGACAUCCCUCCUCAAUGAAAUACCCCAAAAAUAAAAACAAACCACGUAAGGGAGCGCCCGGUGAUUUCUCAGAGCCAGAAGGACAGGAAGAUGAUAGUUUCUCUGACUCUGAUGGGCCCAAGACAUCCCUCCUCAAUGAAAUACCCCAAAAAUAAAAACAAACCACGUAAGGGAGCGCCCGGUGAUUUCUCAGAGCCAGAAGGACAGGAAGAUGAUAGUUUCUCUGACUCUGAUGGGCCCGGAUAUCCCUCAAACCCAGAGGCACCCAAAGAUGAGGAUUACCUUGAAUCUGAAGAAU
rnacentral:lncRNA from 1 species